rnacentral:rRNA from 1 species
CCUACGGGAGGCAGCAGUGAGGAAUUUUCCGCAAUGGGCGAAAGCCUGACGGAGCAAUACCGCGUGAGGGAUGAAGGAUUUUGGUCUGUAAACCUCUUUUCUCAAGAAAGAAGUUCUGACGGUACUUGAGGAAUAAGCAUCGGCUAACUCCGUGCCAGCAGCCGCGGUAAUACGGGGGAUGCAAGCGUUAUCCGGAAUGAUUGGGCGUAAAGCGCCUGUAGGUUGUUUAUUAAGUCCGUUGUUAAAGCCUAGGGCUCAACCCUAGAAAAGCAAUGGAAACUAGUAGACUAGAGUAUGGCAGGGGUAGAGGGAAUUUCUAGUGUAGCGGUGAAAUGCGUAGAUAUUAGAAAGAACACCGGUGGCGAAAGCGCUCUACUGGACCAUUACUGACACUCAGAGGCGAAAGCUAGGGUAGCAAAAGGGAUUAGAUACCCCUGUAGUCCUAGCCGUAAACGAUGGAUACUAGAUGUUGUGCAUUAUGUACAGUAUCGUAGCUAACGCGUUAAGUAUCCGCCCGGGGAGUACGCUCGCAAGGGUGAAACUCAAAGAAUUGACGG